GACGAACGCUGGCGGCAUGCCUAACACAUGCAAGUCGAACGAGACCUUCGGGUCUAGUGGCGCACGGGUGCGUAACGCGUGGGAACCUGCCCUUAGGUUCGGAAUAACUCCCCGAAAGGGGUGCUAAUACCGGAUAAUGUCUUCGGACCAAAGAUUUAUCGCCUUUGGAUGGGCCCGCGUUGGAUUAGCUAGUUGGUAGGGUAAAAGCCUACCAAGGCGACGAUCCAUAGCUGGUCUGAGAGGAUGAUCAGCCACACUGGGACUGAGACACGGCCCAGACUCCUACGGGAGACAGCAGUGGGGAAUAUUGGACAAUGGGCGAAAGCCUGAUCCAGCAAUGCCGCGUGAGUGAUGAAGGCCUUAGGGUUGUAAAGCUCUUUUACCCGGGAUGAUAAUGACAGUACCGGGAGAAUAAGCUCCGGCUAACUCCGUG
rnacentral:rRNA from 1 species